UUUUAAAUUUAUCGAAUCAUUAAUUACAAAAGAAAUUACACCUCCAAUCAAAACAAUCUCCUUGACAUUAAAUAAAUACGCCAUACGUGAAAUGAACAUACGUUUCCAUAGUCGGUACCCUCUUAAGAAUACUUUUAGGACUGUAACGUUAAAAAGCACAAUUACUUUGAUUUAAAAAAUCUGAAUGUCAUGUUAAUUUUCGAAUUGCGCACCUUCGGACGAAAAUGUUGCAGCACGGUAUCAAGUUACAAUGUGGAGAAUCUUAUAGUGUUACACGUGUAAAAGAUAAUACUUACCCUAUGCACACAAAGUUAACACUGAAAGAGGUGUGAAGAAGAACUGAUUAUUUCACUAGAUGUUACAUUAUGAUUUCAAGUAAUCGAGAAAUCAUUAUUAAUUCAGCAAAAAACGUUAAGUACAUAUAUCAAGUAUAAGUUUUAAGGUCAACUUUUUUCUUCUAAUAUCAUCUUGUUGACUUAACUACGUAUUUAUUCAACAGGAAAUAUCUGAAUAUAAAAAAGUCGCAUAAAAUGUUCUUUAAGUUUCAAGAAAUUACAUUCUAUAUAUGUUUGACUAGUUUUACAUACUUGCAAUACUGUUGGCAACGUGUAUCUCCGGUCUUGCAGACGGUCGGAUAAAAAAGAUCAAAUUGAGAAUAGCGCCCAGAAGAAGCCCGAUUUCGACGCUGACAAGAACGCAAACCAAGAAGAGCAAUUUUAUGAUCUUGAAAUCGAUCAUGAACAUCACGGCGCAUAUCAGCACUGCCGAUAACGUUGCACGUGGGAUGUAAUAAAAA